CCCAGACUCCUACGGGAGGCAGCAGUGGGGGAUAUUGCACAAUGGGGGAAACCCUGAUGCAGCGACGCCGCGUGAGUGAAGAAGUAUUUCGGUAUGUAAAGCUCUAUCAGCAGGGAAGAAAAAAGACGGUACCUGACUAAGAAGCCCCGGCUAACUACGUGCCAGCAGCCGCGGUAAUACGUAGGGGGCAAGCGUUAUCCGGAUUUACUGGGUGUAAAGGGAGCGUAGACGGCAAUACAAGUCGGAAGUGAAAUACCCGGGCUUAACCUGGGAACUGCUUUGGAAACUGUAUGGCUGGAGUGCUGGAGAGGUAAGCGGAAUUCCUAGUGUAGCGGUGAAAUGCGUAGAUAUUAGGAGGAACACCAGUGGCGAAGGCGGCUUACUGGACAGUAACUGACGUUGAGGCUCGAAAGCGUGGGGAGCAAACAGGAUUAGAUACCCCAGUACG
rnacentral:rRNA from 1 species